UUGACAGCACUGGAAACUAAAGCCCUCCAUUUAUUCAUAGACCAGACACACAGUGCAAGAUACCGCCACUGCCCUGCCUUAAUUGGAAGCAUUCCAGCUCCACGGCAGAGUGGACAAUUCAUCCCCUUGGCCUCUUUGCUCAACUGCCAAU
rnacentral:sRNA from 1 species